UACGUAGGGUGCGAGCGUUGUCCGGAAUUACUGGGCGUAAAGAGCUCGUAGGUGGUUUGUCGCGUUGUUCGUGAAAACCGGGGGCUUAACCCUCGGCGUGCGGGCGAUACGGGCAGACUUGAGUACUGCAGGGGAGACUGGAAUUCCUGGUGUAGCGGUGAAAUGCGCAGAUAUCAGGAGGAACACCGGUGGCGAAGGCGGGUCUCUGGGCCGAUACUGACGCUGAGGAGCGAAAGCGUGGGGAGCGAACAGG
rnacentral:rRNA from 1 species